rnacentral:rRNA from 1 species
CACGUAGGGACCAAGCGUUGUCCGGAUUCAUUGGGCGUAUAGAGCUCGUAGGCGGCUCAGUAAGUCGGGUGUGAAACCUCCAGGCUCAACCUGGAGACGCCACCCGAUACUGCUGUGGCUAGAGUCCAGUAGGGGAGCGGUGGAAUUCCUGGUGUAGCGGUGAAAUGCGCAGAUAUCAGGAGGAACACCAGCGGCGAAGGCGGCGCUCUGGGCUGGCACUGACGCUGAGGAGCGAAAGCGUGGGGAGCGAACAGG